rnacentral:rRNA from 1 species
UAGGGAAUUUUCGUCAAUGGGGGCAAGUCUGAACCAGCCAUGCCGCGUGCAGGAAGACGGCUCUAUGAGUUGUAAACUGCUUUUGUACGAGGGUAAACGCAGAUACGUGUAUCUGUCUGAAAGUAUCGUACGAAUAAGGAUCGGCUAACUCCGUGCC